UACGGAGGGUGCAAGCGUUAUCCGGAAUCACUGGGUUUAAAGGGUGCGUAGGCGGUCUAAUAAGUCAGUCGUGAAAUCGCUGGGCUCAACCCAUGCAAUUGCGAUUGAUACUGUUAGACUUGAAUGGGGUUGAGGCUAGCGGAAUGCGGCAUGUAGCGGUGAAAUGCUUAGAUAUGCCGCAGAACACCGAUUGCGAAGGCAGCUAGCUGGGCCUUUAUUGACGCUGAGGCACGAAAGCGUGGGGAGCAAACAGG
rnacentral:rRNA from 1 species